UACGUAGGGUGCAAGCGUUGUCCGGAAUUAUUGGGCGUAAAGAGCUCGUAGGCGGUUCGUCGCGUGGGCGGUGAAAACCCGGAGCUCAACUCCGGGCCUGCAGUCGAUACGGGCGGACUUGAGUGUUGCAGGGGAGACUGGAAUUCCUGGUGUAGCGGUGAAAUGCGCAGAUAUCAGGAGGAACACCGGUGGCGAAGGCGGUUCUCUGGGCAUUACCUGACGCUGAGGAGCGAAAGUGUGGGGAGCGAACAGG
rnacentral:rRNA from 1 species